rnacentral:rRNA from 1 species
GAUGAACGCUGGCGGCGUGCCUAAUACAUGCAAGUCGAGCGAACAGACGAGGAGCUUGCUCCUUUGACGUUAGCGGCGGACGGGUGAGUAACACGUGGAUAACCUACCUAUAAGACUGGGAUAACUUCGGGAAACCGGAGCUAAUACCGGAUAACAUGUUGAACCGCAUGGUUCAACAGUGAAAGACGGACUUGCUGUCACUUAUAGAUGGAUCCGCGCCGCAUUAGCUAGUUGGUAAGGUAACGGCUUACCAAGGCAACGAUGCGUAGCCGACCUGAGAGGGUGACCGGCCACACUGGAACUGAGACACGGUCCAGACUCCUACGGGAGGCAGCAGUAGGGAAUCUUCCGCAAUGGGCGAAAGCCUGACGGAGCAACGCCGCGUGAGUGAAGAAGGUCUUCGGAUCGUAAAACUCUGUUAUUAGGGAAGAACAAAUGUGUAAGUAACUAUGCACGUCUUGACGGUACCUAAUCAGAAAGCCACGGCUAACUACGUG